UGGGGAAUAUUGGACAAUGGGCGCAAGCCUGAUCCAGCCAUGCCGCGUGAGUGAUGAAGGCCUUAGGGUUGUAAAGCUCUUUUACCUGGGAAGAUAAUGACGGUACCAGGAGAAUAAGCCCCGGCUAACUUCGUG
rnacentral:rRNA from 2 species